rnacentral:rRNA from 1 species
CUACGGGGUGCUGCAGUGGGGAAUAUUGCACAAUGUAGGAAACUCUGAUGCAGCAACGCCGCGUGGAGGAUGACACUUUUCGGAGCGUAAACUCCUUUUAUAUAGGAAGAAGAUGACGGUACUAUAUGAAUAAGCGCCGGCUAACUCCGUGCCAGCAGCCGCGGUAAUACGGAGGGCGCAAGCGUUACUCGGAAUCACUGGGCGUAAAGAGCGUGUAGGCGGAUUAAAAAGUCAGAAGUGAAAUCCUAUAGCUUAACUAUAGAACUGCUUCUGAAACUCUUAAUCUAGAAUAUGGGAGAGGUAGAUGGAAUUUCUGGUGUAGGGGUAAAAUCCGUAGAGAUCAGAAGGAAUACCGAUUGCGAAGGCGAUCUACUAGAACAUUAUUGACGCUGAGACGCGAAAGCGUGGGGAGCAAACAGGAUUAGAUACCCGCGUAGUC